UACGUAGGGGGCAAGCGUUGUCCGGAAUCAUUGGGCGUAAAGAGCGUGUAGGCGGCUUGGCAAGUCUGCUGUGAAAACUCGAGGCUCAACCUCGAGCUGUCGGCGGAAACUGCUUGGCUAGAGUCCGGAAGAGGAGAGUGGAAUUCCUGGUGUAGCGGUGAAAUGCGCAGAUAUCAGGAAGAACACCUAUGGCGAAGGCAGCUCUCUGGGACGGUACUGACGCUGAGACGCGAAAGCGUGGGGAGCGAACAGG
rnacentral:rRNA from 1 species